rnacentral:rRNA from 1 species
CAGCAGUGGGGAAUCUUGCGCAAUGGGCGAAAGCCUGACGCAGCGACGCCGCGUGCGGGAAGAAGGCCUUCGGGUUGUAAACCGCUUUCAGGAGGGACGAAGCCACUCAGGUUAAUAGCCGAGAGGGUGACGGUACCUCCAGAAGAAGCCCCGGCUAACUACGUGCCAGCAGCCGCGGUAAUACGUAGGGGGCUAGCGUUGUCCGGAUUUAUUGGGCGUAAAGAGCGUGUAGGCGGCCAUGUAGGUCCGGUGUGAAAACUCGAGGCUUAACCUCGAGAUGUCAUCGGAAACCAUUUGGCUAGAGUCCGGAAGAGGAGAGUGGAAUUCCUGGUGUAGCGGUGAAAUGCGCAGAUAUCAGGAAGAACACCAAUGGCGAAAGCAGCUCUCUGGGACGGUACUGACGCUGAGACGCGAAAGCGUGGGGAGCGAACAGGAUUAGA